GUGUACCUGAAAAAAAAAAAACUGAUUAAUUUUCGUGUAAUCAGUUAAAUAAAUAUAUUUAUUUAUUCGGUCGUCAAAUAAAUUACAGUUAUAAAUUUUAUCAGGCAGACAUACCAAGGAACAUCCGACUGUUUGACUUCCUCGGGACUCCUUUCAUUGUUCUCUGGGUCAUUUACCUAUCGGUACAUCACAUGAAUAUUUAAAUUAACAUUCGGCAAUUGGUAUACAAGUGAAGCGAUAGAAAAAAUUCAAUAGAUAUUAUAAUUAAAAUAAAUGUGCAGUGUAUCAAUUUCCUGUGUGUGUAUGAGUAAGAAAAAAAAAAUAAUAAAUAAAAUAUGUAGACCAGGGUCAAAGUGUAUUUAGAACGAUGAUCGAAGGCUUCACCUCGCCCUGGAAUCAUCACGAUGUCAUCAACUACAACUAACCAUUGCCCUCAAUAUCCUGUACUAGUCCCUAGACAAUAAUUCCAUUGUGAUAGAAGAUGAUGAUGGAUGAUGAUGAUGAUGAUGAUAAUAAAGUGAAGGAUCAUGUCAAUGAGCCACUACUAAAUUAUAAAUCUUUCAAUAUAGUGUCUUCAUUAAGAAAACAUUAAAUAUAUGAGUUAUCAAUGCCAACUACCCAAGGCAAUUUAUUUUCUUUAUAAAUUAAAACGUAAACCUUGGAGUCAUAUUUUAUAUAUAUGGAAAUAAAUAUUGAUUAUUAUUUUUCUAAUUUAGUCUCUUCUCUAAAUACCACCAGCUUGCCGAGACUUCACUUCUGACAAGUGCCCAGAUAUCUCAUAUUUUAUCUCAAUAGUUUUGUUUUUUUUUGACGUUGCCUUAACGGAAGAACUUCUUGCUGAUGAACUCAUCCAAAAGUGGAGGUCUAAAAAAAUCUACUAAAGAUAUUUUUUAUGCGCCGUCUGUUUUUCUUGUUCGAUAAUUGGAGUCUAUUGUUGAUAAUUAUUUGCUAUCAAUUACUAAUAAAUAUAAUCUUACUAUCGGAGCAUUCAGUUCCUGUCGAGACUUCACUAGUCAAGGGUAAAAUAAAUUAUUCAAAUAAAAAAAAAAAUGCGGGAAUUUUAAAAACACCGGUUAUAAUUUUAGUUCAAAAAUAUUUUAUAGAAGUUGAAAAAAACAAAAUAAAAAAUGUAGGAAAUGAAAAAUGAAUAAUUUAAAAUUAGUUGUAGAAUUUGUGAGAGACAGAGAUGAAUUGUACUCUUUUCCUCUAGAGAAGUGCUGCCUAGAUGACUUCCUGUGAAUUACCGAGGCGAGAUGAUAAUAUUAGGCGGAGGUUUUAAGUAUCAAGAACACGAGAUUGGGAGAGAUAAAAUAAAAUUUAGUUAAAAGAAUCUGCACGUAAAUAUGUCGUAAGAUGUGAGAUGACUUAGACAUUAAGGUACGAGGUCUAUAAAAAAAUUUAAAAAAAAAGUCCAUAAUUCGCGUUAUUACAAAGGCCACGUGGUGAUGACACAAGAAAAAUUAAUAUUGUUUUCUCAAUGUUAAACGUAUGCCUGUAUAAUUUAAUUGUAGAGAUGACUAGGAUUAUAUGGAUUCCAGUUACCUGAGAGUAUUGACACAUAGAACUGAUCUAAUUUUUAAAAUCAUAUUCAAGAUCCUAAGAAGAUAUUACACAUGAAACAUGAAUAAAAUAAUAACAGCGUAUUACUCACCUUGUAUCGCAUCUUUGUGUGUUAAUGCUGUCUCUCAAUCUCGAUUUAAAUUCAAACGUACUCGCUGUUGUGUAUUAUCUGCAACUAGUAAUGUGCAAAUCACUUGUCUAGAACAAAAGCAAGUACACAUCUAUUAGCUAGCAUCUAUUAGACUGCACACCGCUAAACUUUACCAAGUACAAUUGCAUUUAAUGUGUACACACAAGCCUUUAAUUUUAUUAUAUUACUAUACAUUGGGUUCUCUUACGCUGAUUCACGCAUUAAUUUAUUUAGCGUCUAAUGUCAUUAAAAUACGAGCAACAGAUAUACGAUUAAGAAGCUCGAGGUUUUUCAAUUUUUAUUUUAUUCUUCUAUCCAUUCGUUCAUUCAUCAAUCCAUUGAUUAAUUAAUUAAAUUAAUAACCAAUAGUGAUAAAUUUAAUGAGGACAAAUUAGCCGGUUUAAUUAUCAAAGGUUUUAUGGAGAAAUUUAUACGGAAGCUAUUAAUUAUUUUAUAUGAAAAUAUUAUUACUAAAAAAAAAUAUAAUUUGCUACGUCAUUAAUAUGUUUAAUCAGUGUGUCUAUUCAAUUUUAAAUGGUUGUACUUUUGAAAAUAAAUAACAACAGUAGUCUAUAGGAUUUCACUUUGCUGAUGGGCAUGAGGAUCAUAAUCAACGACGCGCGUCCCGAUGAGUUUUGCUCUCGAAAGCAUCAACACGCUGGACUUUUAAAUGCUAAUAAUAAUGCCGACUUAUAAUAGACAUAUUUAUGUACAUAUACAUGUGCAAAUAAAUAUAAAAUAUGUUAUGUACACACAUGUAUAUAAAUAUAUUUAUGUAUAUGAUUUUAUUUUGUAAAAAACAUACAUUUAGUGUUGAUUAUAAGUGUGUCAGUAAGAUCGAGUGAUAGGACAGAAAUAAUAAAUUGCAAUGCAUGGAAAAACCGGCUGAUAUAAAUUUAUUUAUCGGUAGUAUCUACAAAACUGCUGUGUUAC